UUCACCCUUCUCCCACCCGCCCGCUGCGGAAACUACUGCUUCGCUUUUUUUUGCAUCUUCGGAUUCUUUUCGUCUGAGAUCACUUUAUUUACAGGAAAAGCUGCCACCCAUGGCAUGGAAAAUCUAACUGCUGACCGAGCGCCUGGCUGAUCCACUGUGCAGCCAUCACUCAGACCACAUUCUCCUUGUCUCUUCCCCCACCCCAACAACAAAAUAAAAAAACUCUCCUCUUCCCCCCACCCCCAUCAAAUCCAGUGGAGGUGGAUUCCCCUGGAGCCCAGGAAUAACAUCUCGGCCUAAACAGAUGCAAGAAACUCAACCUCAAACCUAGAUUUCACUCGAUGAUGCCGGAAUUCGAGCUUCAUUUCAACUUGGUUCUGAUGUAAUCCGAUAGUUCGCGGGGAGGGAAGCACAUAGCGUCCAACAAUUCAGCGAGAUUGGAAAAGCAGUCUAUAAUUUUGUAAUUCAAAUCCCUAGGGGAUUUACCACCGUGACUCUUAUUAAACAACCUUUUGCUUUGUAACAAAAAUCUUGAUUAGAGGUCAAAUAAAACCUUUCACAAAAGAUGGAUGGGAAUACGAAAAUGA